AUUGUGAAGGAACUUGAACUCCUUAAAUGUGUUCUACCCGACAAAUUCGUGGCUGGGUGCAUGAUUGCAAAGUUGCCUCCUUCAUGGAGGAAUUUCGCCACAACUCUGAAGCAUAAGAGACAGGAGAUAUCAGUUGAAAAUCUGAUUGCAUCUCUUGAUGUUGAAGAAAAAGCUCGGGCUAAAGAUACCACUGAAAAAGGAGGUGAGGUUCAGCCUACUGGUAACAUGGUGCAGAGGUACCCACAGAACAAGAACAAAGGGAAGAACAAACCUGUUUUCAACAAACUUUUCCAAGGAAUGCCCUGA
rnacentral:rRNA from 1 species